AUACUCAAAUAUUCAAUCAAAAUGACUCGCGCUAUUUAAUUUGAUUUUUGAAUUACUGUGAUAAUUUUGGUGAAAUUAACAUUAAAUUAUAGAGAAAAAAAAUAAUAAAAAAGAAAACCGACCGUUGGUUAUUCCACCCAAGUCCAAAGAGUCCGGCCCCAUAAGAAUUAUAAACGGACAGGCUGGUUCGUAGCCUCCACGUGGCAGCCACCCAUGAGACAGGCUAGCGAGAUUGCGGGCUCCACAUAACAAGGUAAGUGGUGAUGUGACGCGACCCGUUGUGAGUGGGGGCCAAUGGUUUAGAUUUCUGGUCCCGACCACGAUCUCUACCUGGCUCUAACGGUCACGUUCUUGGGCGUCUCGCUGGCCUGCCUCUGCCCUAUCUGCCUCCCCCACACUUUUUGAAUUUGCUCAAUAAUAAAUAAUUAAGCAUAGUUAAUUUUUUACUUACAUUACCCUUUCAUUCUCUUUUAUUAUUAUGAUUAAAUUAUUUUGUCGCAUUAGGAAAAAAUAAAAAAUUUAGUUGAGAAUAAAAUAACGUGUGUUAAAAGCUACUGUCCCUAAAAUUAUUGUAAAAUAUUGAGAGUAUAGAUUUUUUUAUUUUAUUUUGUAAGAAACACAUUAAGUUUUGGAGAAAAAAAUUGUGGUACAAAAAAUAGAAAACAUUAUUUUAGGAAUAAAAAUUUUUUUAUUUCUUUUUUAGAAGACUCUACUAGAGUUUUAAAAUUGUAAUAGUAUAUCAUAAUACAACAUAAUUGAGCUUUCAAAAAAAAAAUAAAACAUAAUAGCAUGGUCGCUAUGAUUCCACUUAAUUUGCCCAAACAAAUCUAUUCUUCGGAAUCACACGACCAUGUAAAUCAAAUAUUUGGUGUAAAGUAUCUCCAAAGUGCCAAAUAAAUAGGCUUUUUCAAAAAUUAAAGUACCAAAGGGACAAAUUCGUCAAAUAGAUAAAAUUUAGGGACAAUUUAGUCCGCACACAAAAGGCUGCCAGUUAUGCAGCUUCUCCUGGCUGGAACCAAGUGCUGUCAGAUAAAAAGAACUAAAAAAUUAUUGCUAAUUAAUCAUGCUUUCCCUAAUUAAUAAUAACCAGGAUAAUAACAUUUGGAUCCUUAUAUUUUGAGUAAUCACAAAUAAACACCCAAGUCUGGUUUUUUCUUACAGGUCUUUGUCACAACUCAUAGAGAUGGCAAAAUUUCGGGC
rnacentral:lncRNA from 1 species